rnacentral:rRNA from 1 species
UGGGGAAUUUUGGACAAUGGGCGCAAGCCUGAUCCAGCCAUGCCGCGUGCAGGAUGAAGGCCUUCGGGUUGUAAACUGCUUUUGUACGGAACGAAAAGGUGCCUUCUAAUAAAGGGCGCUCAUGACGGUACCGUAAGAAUAAGCACCGGCUAACUACGUGCCAGCAGCCGCGGUAAUACGUAGGGUGCGAGCGUUAAUCGGAAUUACUGGGCGUAAAGCGUGCGCAGGCGGUUUUGUAAGACAGAGGUGAAAUCCCCGGGCUCAACCUGGGAACUGCCUUUGUGACUGCAAGGCUGGAGUGCGGCAGAGGGGGAUGGAAUUCCGCGUGUAGCAGUGAAAUGCGUAGAUAUGCGGAGGAACACCGAUGACGAAGGCAAUCCCCUGGGCCUGCACUGACGCUCAUGCACGAAAGCGUGGGGAGCAAACA